rnacentral:tRNA from 1 species
AAAGAAUUAGUUAAAUUAACAUUAGUAUGUCAUACUAAAAUUACUUGUAUUAAACCCAGUAUUCUUUG